GACGAACGCUGGCGGCGUGCCUAAUACAUGCAAGUUGAGCGAUGAAGAUUGGUGCUUGCACCAAUUUGAAGAGCAGCGAACGGGUGAGUAACGCGUGGGGAAUCUGCCUUUGAGCGGGGGACAACAUUUGGAAACGAAUGCUAAUACCGCAUAACAACUUUAAACAUAAGUUUUAAGUUUGAAAGAUGCAAUUGCAUCACUCAAAGAUGAUCCCGCGUUGUAUUAGCUAGUUGGUGAGGUAAAGGCUCACCAAGGCGAUGAUACAUAGCCGACCUGAGAGGGUGAUCGGCCAAAUUGGGACUGAGACACGGCCCAAACGCCUACGGGAGGCAGCAGUAGGGAAUCUUCGGCAAUGGACGAAAGUCUGACCGAGCAACGCCGCGUGAGUGAAGAAGGUUUUCGGAUCGUAAAACUCUGUUGGUAGAGAAGAACGUUGGUGAGAGUGGAAAGCUCAUCAAGUGACGGUAACUACCCAGAAAGGGACGGCUAACUACGUG
rnacentral:rRNA from 1 species